GUCUAUUUGAAGGUAUUAAUAGUCUGGCCUGCUCACUGACAUAAUAUGAUGUUAAAGAGCCGCGGUAUCCUGACCGUGCAAAGGUAGCAUAAUCAUUAGUUCUUUAAUUGAGAACUUGUAUGAACGGCCGGACAAGAGAAACCCUGUCUCUGCUAUUAUAUUAGAAUUUAACUUUUAAGUGAAAAGGCUUAAAUUUUUCAAGGGGACGAUAAGACCCUAUAAAGCUUUAUAUAUUAAUUAGAGUUAAUUAAAUUGAGUAGAUAAAAAUUUAGUCUUAAAAAUAUAUUUAGUUGGGGCGACGAAAGUAUAAUUGAUAAUAACUGCUUAAAUUUAAUACAAUAAUAAAUGAUUUUUUUUUAAUUGAUCCUUUUUAAAGAUUAAAGACCAAGUUACUUUAGGGAUAACAGCGUAAUUUCUUUUGAGAGUCCAUAUCGAAGAAGAAGUUUGCGACCUCGAUGUUGAAUUAAAAUAUCUUUAUAGUGCAGCAGCUAU
rnacentral:rRNA from 1 species